CCUACGGGUGGCAGCAGUGGGGAAUAUUGGGCAAUGGGCGCAAGCCUGACCCAGCAACGCCGCGUGAAGGAAGAAGGCUUUCGGGUUGUAAACUUCUUUUCUGCGGGACGAAGAAAGUGACGGUACCCCCGGAAUAAGCCUCGGCUAACUACGUGCCAGCAGCCGCGGUAAUACGUAGGUGGCAAGCGUUCUCCGGAUUUAUUGGGUGUAAAGGGCGUGUAGGCGGGAAAGCAAGUCAGAUGUGAAAACUCAGGGCUCAACCCUGGGCCUGCAUUUGAAACUGUUUUUCGUGAGUGCUGGAGAGGCAAUCGGAAUUCCGGGUGUAGCGGUGAAAUGCGUAGAUAUACGGAGGAACACCAGUGGCGAAGGCGGAUUGCUGGACAGUAACUGACGCUGAGGCGCGAAAGCGUGGGGAGCAAACAGGAUUAGAUACCCUGGUAGUC
rnacentral:rRNA from 1 species